UACGUAGGGACCAAGCGUUGUUCGGAUUUACUGGGCGUAAAGGGCGCGUAGGCGGCGUGACAAGUCACUUGUGAAAUCUCCGGGCUUAACUCGGAACGGCCAAGUGAUACUGUCGUGCUAGAGUGCAGAAGGGGCAAUCGGAAUUCUUGGUGUAGCGGUGAAAUGCGUAGAUAUCAAGAGGAACACCUGAGGUGAAGACGGGUUGCUGGGCUGACACUGACGCUGAAGCGCGAAAGCUAGGGGAGCGAACGGG
rnacentral:rRNA from 1 species